rnacentral:lncRNA from 1 species
GCUGCCUCUGCUGAGUCAUGCAGGUUGUCAGGGAAGUGGGGGAAAGCGAGCAGUCGCAGGCUUCACCCAACUCCCACACAAUCUGAAGGGCUGGUCUCACUCCCAUUGUGCCACCCCCAACAGCACUGUCUAUUUCCAGGCAGUGGGUGAGCAGGGCUUAAGAACUUGUCCCAGGCUGCCCGCCUCCCAGCCGUGAGAUAAAAGGGCUCUGGUUCUUCCCCCACCUGUGGAGUCUGCAUGCUAGAUUUACACCCUCCCCUGAGUUCUGGCCAGGAGGCCUCUCACCUGGUUCAAAUUGUUACAACGUUCAGCUGGAGACCUCCUACUCCCUGUGGUUAUCUCCCCGCACCUCUGGCCACCCUCCCGAAAGGAUCCCUGUGGUGCCAGGCAGGAAUGGCCUGCCUGGGGACCCAGCAAGCUCCCAGGGCCCUUCCCACUGCCUCCUCCACCCCUGCAUUUCACUCAGCUCUCUAAGUUGACUCAGCUCCAGCCAGGUGAGGAUACAGUGAGAAGACAGCCGUCUGCAAUCAGGAAGGGGACUCUCACCAGACAACAAGUCUUCCAGCACCUUUAUCUUGGACUUCCAGCCUCCAGAAUUAUGACAAGUUGUGCCUCUUUGAGACAGGCUGUCCCAGUCACACUGGGGGAAACUGAGGCAGAUCAGUGGAUGGAGGAUGAAUAAACUGCAGGCCAGGGAGUGCUUUCUUUCUGAAAGAGUCUUUAAUUAUACAAUUGAUGGUAUUCACCUUCAGUUUUCCAAGACGAUGGAAAGCACCACUGGUGCAUGUAGUUAACAGCAGCUUGACUCAGACACAGAACUGCAGCCAGGGCCCAUCUGUUCCCAUCACUCCUACUGCCAGUUUUACAACCAGAACUAGAGUGAUUUAUCCAUCUCAGUUUGCUCAGGACUCAGCAGAAGAGGAUCCUGGGACACAAGACUUUCAGUGCUCAAACUUGGAGAGUUCAAGACUUUCAGUGCUCAAACUUGGAGAGUCCUUGGCAAUCACAGUUUGACUAUGACUGAGAAGAUUCCCAGAAAGAAGGACUUUUAAUUCUAAAACUGAGAAAGUCCCAGGGCAUGAGUUGUUCACCUUAUUUGCAACCAACUUCUAAUUCAUCAUGAGGGCUUUGCAUAAACUUAUGCUUUAGGACUAGUAGAGUCAGUCAUUGCUUCAAAUUAAGUAGUGUGGCAAAAGUCUGUUAUUUUUCAGGAAAAAUUAAUGUCUGAUUGUGUUAAUCCUGGUUGCAAUAACUUAUCUCAUUUCCCCACUUUCCUGUGGAAAAAUUCCCAAUUUCUCAACCUGGCAUAUUAAGCAGCUGAAAAGUGGCCUAUGCCUUCAUCCCUGUCACUAUCUCCCUCCACUUGCCACCAUGCCCCAGUCUCUCUGAACUUUGUCAUUCUCCUUCAAGACUGGUGAUAUGGCUUGGCUGUGUCCCCACCCAAAUCUCAUCUUGAAUUGUAGCUCCCCUAAUCCACAAGUGUUGUGAGAGGGAUCCAGUGGGAGGUAAUUGAAUCAUGGGGAUGGGAUUUUCCUGUGCUGUUCUCGUGAUAGUGAAUAAGUCUCAUGAGAUCUGAUAGUUUUAUAAAGGGCAGUUCCCCUGCAUACACUGUCUUGCCUGCCACCAUGUAAGAUGUGCCUUUGCUCCUCCUUUGUCUUCUGCCAUGAUUGUGAGGCCUCCCCAGCCAUGUGGAACUGUGAGUCAUUAAACUUCCUUUCCUUUAUAAAUUACCCAGUCUUGGGUAUUUCUUCAUAGCUGUACAAAAACUGGAGACCUGAGAAAAUAGACAUUUUUUCAUCCCAGAUUCUUUCUUUCCCUGUCUCCCUUACUGCUUCCAUCCAUUCAGCAUAGUCAUGUAAGAAAACUCAAGCAUCACUGACUCUGAAUAACUGUUUUCAUCUUCCUCAAGAAGUUAUCUCCCUAUCCUUUAAGCUCAACUAAUGCUUUGUUUAUAUCUUUAAAAUAGAAUUGAUUACGUACUAUAUCAAAUACAUAUGCUUUAUACCUGUCUCCUUUACUAGACUAUUUCUCUAUUUAGUAGACUUACUUCUCAACAGUGAUAACUUAUUUUUCUUUUUAUCUCUAGUGCUUAAUCUCUUGCCUGGUGUACAAUAAAAUUUGUUGUAUGAACAUCUGAGUGGAUACAUUUUUAUACAUUUUAAACAGAUGGGAAAACUGAAGCUUAGAGUGGUUAAAUGAUUUCACCAAGAUCAAUAGCUAGGAAAUGACUGAAACGGGGCUUGAACCAAAGUCUUCCAAAUCUGACACCCAUGCAUUCAUCACCCCCUCAUUUGUAUACAUGGGUUACCAAUAACACAC